rnacentral:rRNA from 1 species
AUCUGCCCAUUUGAGGGGGAUACCAGUUGGAAACGACUGUUAAUACCGCAUAAUAUCUGUGGAUUAAAGGUGGCUUUCGGGCUGUCGCAGAUGGAUGAGCCUGCGUUGGAUUAGCUAGUUGGUGGGGUAAGGGCCCACCAAGGCUACGAUCCAUAGCUGAUUUGAGAGGAUGAUCAGCCACAUUGGGACUGAGACACGGCCCAAACUCCUACGGGAGGCAGCAGUGGGGAAUAUUGGACAAUGGGGGCAACCCUGAUCCAGCAAUGCCAUGUGUGUGAAGAAGGCCCUAGGGUUGUAAAGCACUUUAGUUGGGGAG